UGGGGUAUAGCCCAGUGGCAGAGCAUGUAUUUAGCAUGUGCAAGGCCCUGGGUUCAAUUCCCAGUACGCCAC
rnacentral:tRNA from 1 species